GGGAUUUUACCCGACAGACUGUCAGAUUACUCCGUUUGAAGUGCGUAUUAACCAUUUUAUAGGAUAGGGUGAUGGUUAACGCACUUGAGCCGGAUUAAUUUAGGCGGUUCUGCCACACCUCUAGAGCCUAAUGUCGACACGGCCAGCCUAUCUCAACGGAAAAGCAGCUGCACCUCCACGGGCCUUCCUGCCGAUACGGGAAUCACCGCAAUUGAAACGACGGCCUAGCAGCACUAUCCGGUGGAUGAGAUAACCCAGCGGACACCUUGUGUGCUUCAAACUUCCUUUAAGAACUUAACGUUCACUGUUGCAUAUGGUUCCGCCAUGCCAAGCACACCAGGCGAGGUGUACCAUGGGCAGGAGAUCCCGGCUGGAUACGCUAAAGUUGGCGUCGAGGAGGUGUGCAAUGAUUGGAAGAAUCUCGAGCUUGAUAUUCCUGGAGGCAACGGGGAGACGACACUAGCAGACGCCACUCAUGGCUACAUCCUUUGGAACAAGCGGUACAUCAUGCUCAAGCCUACCGAUCAGGGAUCAAGGCCGGCAUCUUCGCAACGGCCCACUCCUGGUUCACCUCCUCCGCCAUCGUCUCCACAACCUACCCCAGAACACUCUCCUUCAUCUUUAUCUCCUGGGCAGCCAUCGACUACUCCUGCUUCACCGCCAUCUAAUGGUUCACCUCCUCUACCACCGCCAAAGAAGCCAGAAAAGGAGUCAGAGAAGCAUACCAGUGGACCCUGCAAAAUUGAAAUUUUUAAUUGGAACGUGCGAAUCGAACAAGAGGAAGUUAAUUGAUAAACCGCUUUCGGACUACAAUCGCUCGAUUAAGAAAUCAUAUGAGAAGAGGAAAUCAGGGUCAUCAUUGUCCGAUGUUCCACAGCUCGGGGCCCAAAAGAAACAGUCAAUAGAACCACUAGUUGUGCUAAAUCAGGAACAAUAAGGAUUUUUGUCUUUCUUGCAAUCAUCAAAGCUCACUACUGAUCAAAUAAUAGGGGCUCCGAAUCAAGAUCCAGAUCUGUAGACAGAUUAUCCGAUAGCUCCAGUGGUGAAAUGGCCAUAUAAGGAGGGCACCAGCCUUGUCCCCCAGAGAUCGUACCUUUGCUGCCAACACAAAUGCGAAGGCUACAUCAAUUGUACAUGAAGGCGAUGCCAGAUUGUAACUUCAUGCAGGGCGCAAAGAUUACAGAUGAAGAUUUCCUUCGUGGAGAGGUCAUCAUAUGGAUUGAUUGGGAAGAUGUGUACUAAUUGUACUAUCAGGACUCCCCCGACAUCUCUAUCGUCAGUUUGUGGCUUCUGAUGGAGAUUCAAACUUGCCGAAAAAGGGUAUUUUCACAUUGGCUUCGUCGACCCAUCGAUUGUGAAUUGCAAGAAUCUCAAGAGCAAUCCUGUCGAAAUAUUCAAAAACAUGUACAAGUACUUAAGCGUUCAACACUACAAGUCUUACAUACUAUUUCUAUACAACUUUGCAGAUCACUGGAUACUAGUUGUCAUAUUUCCUGACCAGAGCUUAGCGCUUGUUAUGGACUCAGUGCGGAGAAAUCCAAACCAAUAUAAAGACAUCAGCGACAUGUUGAACAAGGUUUGGAAGAAAUUCAUUUGAAAGCAUAGUGGCAAUUUCAGCGCCGAACUAAAAUGGAAGAAAAACUUUUCGAGAAUGUCCAUGGCCAUAUAGGUGCUCAAAACACCUUUACCGCAUGGCAGCAGGAACUCAGUGCAAUGCGAGACACACUCAUACUAGAGGAAAGGAUUUUGGUGAUUCAAGAAGCCAUGUGCGAAUUUAUUGCUCAGGAGGUCCUCCACCCGGCAGGGGAAUUUUACUAUGAUGGAGUGUCAAACAUAGAUAAUAGGAGUAAGUAUGACAAUAUUAAGUAAA